UUUGUUUUGUUUUUUUUUUU
rnacentral:miRNA from 2 species